rnacentral:lncRNA from 1 species
UUCAGCUUUCAACUAUGAUCAAUCAAGCAAAAUAUUUGUAAUUAAAACACUGUCAAUCACAUUUUCCUAUAAGGGUGCGUUUGGUUCCACAUAAAACUGUAUUUACGGUCUUUAGUGUUUGAUUUGUAGGAAAAAUAAUAGUUUUUUAUUAUGAUUGUUUAGUUGAAGAAAAGAAAAGAAAAGAAAAUACAUAGAGAACUAUUAUAUAUAUUUUCUCUUAUUAUAUAUAGGCCAUGGCUACUAUACUAUUAUGAGUAUUGGAGUCCUCGUAUUCAUAAGUUGUUUUUAAUGAUGGAGCUUCCGAAUCGACGAUCCACUCCGUUAAAUAUGAUCUAGAGUAUUUGAAACUUUAGAAAAUAAAUAUCAUAAUAAAGUCCAUCAAGUGGGCAUAAAAUGAACGGUCAAAAUCGAACGACGUCCUAAAAAAGGAUGAUCGGAUCCUUCAAUUCAAGAUCGGAGUUAUUGAUCUUUAUCUAUAUAGUGAAUAGAAUUUUCUAUCAAAAAUUUAACAAAUUCUGAUUCUUUUACACCGUUAAACUAGCAAGUAUCCCAUACCGGCCGUUAAAAAUUGUCAAAUUUGUGACCUCUUGAUCGUAAGGUAAAUGAUGUCGAAAAAUUAUAAAAUUUGAUUUCUAGAAGUUUUAAAUGCUGUAAAUAACGUUUAACGGUGUGGAUCAUCGAUUCAGAAGCUCUAUCAUUGAAAACAACUUAUGAGUACGAAGGCGAUCGUACUCAUAAUAGUAUAGUAGCCGGACCCUAUAUAUUAUAUAUUAUUAAUAUACAAUAAUUAUUAUACUAUAUAUGUUAUUAUUAUAGUUUAUUUUUAUAAAUAAAUAUAUUUAAAAAUAUAUUAUUUAUUAUGUAAUAUAAUUCAUAAUAGUAUAUAUAUUUAAUUUAUAUAAUAUUAUAUAAUAAUAUAUUUAUAUAAAAUAAAAUAUUAUUAUCAUUAUAUAUUUAUAAUGAAUGAAGCAAACAAAAGAAAAUUAAUUUCUAACAAAAAAUAUUUUUCGGAAUAAUUUUACAAGGAUCCAAACACACGCUAAAUAGGAAUAACUACUGCAUUGCCAAUUAUAUGCAUAUCUAAUUACAUUAUAUUUACAACUGUCGUGAACCAAACAGCCACUUAAACCAUGCGAUAGAGAAACAAAAAAAAUCUAAGGUUCUAAGGCUUCUACUAUAACCGGAAGCUCCUGCGUCUUAAAAAUCAGAAGUUCUAUUUUGACAGUAAUUCAUCAAAUAACAUUAUACCUACAGCAAAGUUAAGGUUUCGUUUGGGAUCGCCGAUAGAUUGCAUUACGUGCAACUAGGGGUGUAAACGAGCCGAACACAAGUGAGCUGGGAUCGGCUCGUUAAAGUAUCGAGUCGAAAAAUUCAGCUCGUGUUCGGCUCUUUUAUUAACAAGCCGAGCACGAGCUGGCUCACGAGCUGGCGAACGAACAAUAAAUUUAAAAAAAUUAAAUUAAAGAUAUAUAAAAGAUAAAUUUAUAAAAUCUUAUCUAUUAAACUUUGAUCUAAUAGUUGAAACUUUAUAUAUAAAUGAGUUUUUUUAUAAUUAAGCUCGCAUUUAUAUUUUUAUUUUACUAAAAAUUAAAUAAUAAAAAUAUAUUAUAUAUAAUUAUUUAUUUAUUUAUAAAAAUAUAAAUUAAAUAAAUUAUAUAAAUAUAAAAUAUAUGUAUUCGAGCUGUUAUCGAGCCGAACAAGAGCGAGCUGACCCCAGCUCGUGUUCGGCUCGUUUAUUAAACGAGCUGAAAAAUUCAGCUCGUGUUCGACUUGUUUACUAAACGAGCGAGCCGAUCUCGAGCUCAUUCCGAGCCGAACACGAACUGGCUCACGAACAGCGAGCUGGAUUGCCACCCCUACGUGCAACAUGAAAGUACUAUAGAAUAAUAUUGAAUCAAUUAAGAUAUAAUUCUACGAUAUUUUUGGAAAAUAGAGAAGUAUAAUAUAUUUGAAUAUUAUUAGACGAUAUUCUUGGCCCAAUACGCUCAAUUUGACUAUGAAAGCCCAAUUGCAAUUUAGUCCACAAAUCUAUUUCAGCCUUUGAAUUUCACAAAAGUUAUACUUUAGCCUCUAAUAAGUCUCUAACCGUUACCCAAAAAAAAAACAAAUUAGUUUUUACCAUGGAUUAAUUUUAAAAUUUGUUUGGCAA